CUCACAAGCUGGGGGAGCCCGAUGGGCUGAGAGGGGACACGUUCCCGACCCUUACGACCUGACGCAGAUCAUGCUGCCGUAGGGAAGCUGGUUCCGGAAAAC
rnacentral:ncRNA from 2 species